GCUGCACUUUCCAUUUGCUCUCGAGCGCAGGCAUCACAGUGAGGGUGAAGUUCCUCUCCUAUUCACCUCAUCAUCCAGUGGAUGGAAUAAAAUUGUUUUAAACCACGAUGUCACGUGCAUAUUAAGCAGAAAUGUCGUGGAUUUGAUUUUGUAAUCGAGGAAGCUCGUCUAUCUAUUUCACAUACAGAUGACUGGCGACCUACAGCAUCUUAUAAUGCCACUGAGAUUCCAGGGACCAUAGGCAGCUGGAGCAGUCACUCGCCCGCAGGAAGUAAACGCAGUGCGGGCUCAUGAGUCUGAUGCAACACGAGGGGUGGCAGAAAAAUGGAGGAUGUUCAAAAUGAAUGAAACAAUCUGAUCCGGAUCCUUUCGCAUCAACGAUGGUGAAACAUCAGUCAGAGCUCACAACUCCAACACCUUAUAUUUGUGUGCACCUAUGUCCUGAUAGUUCCAUUUCAAGGGGUAAAAUAUAAUAGAAAGAUACAAUAUUAAAUAUAAUAUAUAUAUAUAUCAAUCUUAAUGUUUACAUGGUGCUACAUUUUUAAAAUUGAAAUAAACAUUGAUA